GACGAACGCUGGCGGCGUGCCUAAUACAUGCAAGUCGAGCGGAAGUUGGAGAGCUUGCUCUUCAACUUUAGCGGCGGACGGGUGAGUAACACGUGGGCAACCUGCCCUGCAGAUCGGGAUAACUCCGGGAAACCGGUGCUAAUACCGAAUAGUUUUCGCCACCUCCUGGUGGCGUACGGAAAGACGGUUUCGGCUGUCACUGCAGGAUGGGCCCGCGGCGCAUUGGCUAGUUGGUGGGGUAACGGCCCACCAAGGCGACGAUGCGUAGCCGACCUGAGAGGGUGAUCGGCCACACUGGGACUGAGACACGGCCCAGACUCCUACGGGAGGCAGCAGUAGGGAAUCUUCCGCAAUGGACGAAAGUCUGACGGAGCAACGCCGCGUGAGUGACGAAGGUUUUCGGAUCGUAAAACUCUGUUGUGAGGGAAGAACAAGUACCACUUAACUACUGGUACCUUGACGGUACCUCACCAGAAAGCCACGGCUAACUUCGUGCCAGCAGCCGCGGUAAUAC
rnacentral:rRNA from 1 species